CCUACGUGGUGCAGCAGUCGAGAAUCAUUCACAAUGGGGGAAACCCUGAUGGUGCGACGCCGCGUGGGGGAAUGAAGUAAUUCGUUAUGUAAAGCUCUAUCAGCAGGGAAGAAAAUGACGGUACCUGAGUAAGAAGCCCCGGCUAACUACGUGCCAGCAGCCGCGGUAAUACGUAGGGGGCAAGCGUUAUCCGGAUUUACUGGGUGUAAAGGGAGCGUAGACGGCAGUGCAAGUCUGGAGUGAAAGGCGGGGGCUCAACCCCCGGACUGCUCUGGAAACUGUACGGCUGGAGUGCAGGAGAGGUAAGUGGAAUUCCUAGUGUAGCGGUGAAAUGCGUAGAUAUUAGGAGGAACACCAGUGGCGAAGGCGGCUUACUGGACUGUAACUGACGUUGAGGCUCGAAAGCGUGGGGAGCAAACAGGAUUAGAUACCCUUGUAGUC
rnacentral:rRNA from 1 species